rnacentral:sRNA from 1 species
AAGAUAAAACGCUCAAUACCGGGGUUCCCCCAGCGGCGAUAGCGUCAUUUUCGACCAUUAGCACGGCUUUUGUCUUGCGAAAAGUCGCGCUAUACCCUGAUUAAAGCGUUAGGCCGAUGUUUUUGCUAUUUUUUUGAGUCUUGAAGUAAGAUGCCGCA